ACCUUUGACAUGUACGGAAUCCUUAGAGAUAGAGGAGUGCUCGAAAGAGAACCGUAACACAGGUGCUGCAUGGCUGUCGUCAGCUCGUGUCGUGAGAUGUUGGGUUAAGUCCCGCAACGAGCGCAACCCUUGUCAUUAGUUGCUACAUUUAGUUGGGCACUCUAAUGAGACUGCCGGUGACAAACCGGAGGAAGGUGGGGAUGACGUCAAGUCCUCAUGGCCCUUAUAGGUGGGGCUACACACGUCAUACAAUGGAUGGUACAAAGGGUCGCCAACCCGCGAGGGGGAGCCAAUCCCAUAAAGCCAUUCGUAGUCCGGAUCGCAGUCUGCAACUCGACUGCGUGAAGUCGGAAUCGCUAGUAAUCGUGGAUCAGAAUGUCACGGUGAAUACGUUCCCGGGUCUU
rnacentral:rRNA from 1 species